UGAUAAAAUAAAAUUAUAGAUAUUAUAAUAUUAAAACGUAUAUAAGGAAUGUCUAGGUAACUAUAGGCGAUGAAAGACGCUAAAAAUGCGAUAAUCUUUUAAAAGGUAUCUUAAUAGGGAAACCUACUAAAAUUUUUUUUUAGUAUUUAUUUUUUUAAUAAAAGCAAACUGGGUGAACUGAAACAUCUAAGUAACCCAAGGAAAAGAAAUCAAAAUGAGAUUUUCAAAGUAGUGGCGAGCGAAAUGGAAUGAGCCCAAAAAAUAUUAUAAUUAAAAAAAAUUUUGAAUAAUUUACAAUAAAAGUAAUAGUCUUUUUAAAAUUAUAAUAAAUAUAUGAUUAAGUUUAGACACGUGAAAUCUUAACUGAAAAAAGGGGGACCAUCCUCUAAGGCUAAAUACUAAUAGUUAACCGAUAGUGAACUAGUACCGUGAGGGAAAGAUGAAAAAGAACCUUUAAUUAGGAGUGAAAUAGAACCUGAAAUUAUAUACGUAAAAGCAGUAGAAGCUGAAAAGUGACUACGUACCUUUUGUAUAAUGGGUCAGCGACUUAUUUUUUUUAGCAAGCUUAACAUUUUUUUUGGUAGGCGUAGAGAAAUCUAGUCUUAAUAGGGCGAUAGUUAAAAAAAAUAGACCCGAAACCGAGCGAUCUAUCCAUGAACAGGUUGAAUGUAAAGUAAAAUUUACUGGAGGACCGAACCGGUAUCUGUUGCAAAAGAUUCGGAUGAUUUGUGGAUAGGGGUGAAAGGCUAAUCAAGCUCGGAGAUAGCUGGUUCUCCUCGAAAGCUAUUUAGGUAGCGCCUUAUAAAUAAUAAUUAAUGGUAAAGCACUGUAUUGAGUAAGCAAUAUGCCUAAUCAUAACAAACUAUGAAUAUUAAUUAUUUUAUUAUAGGAGACACACAUAGGGUGCUAACAUCCUGUGUGGAAAGGGAAACAACCCAGAUCAUAAAUUAAGGUCCCUAAAUUCUAUUUGAGUGGAAAAUGAUAUUUUAAAUCUAUAACAAUCAAAAGGUGGGCUUAGAAGCAGCCAUCCUUUAAAGAAAGCGUAAUAGCUCAUUGAUCUAGAUGUUUAAUACAUAAAAUUUAACGGGGCUAAAAUAGAUACCGAAAUUAUGAACAUUUUUAUUGUGGUAGAGGAGCGUUGUGUAAAUUUUAGAAGAAUUAUUUUAAAAUAAUUUAGAAAUAUCACAAGUGCGAAUGCUGACAUAAGUAACAAUAUGAAAUGUGAAAAUCAUUUCCGCCGAAAAACUAAGGUUUUCUAUUCAACGAUUAUCGAAAUAGAGUUAGUCGUGACCUAAAACGAGGUUGAAAAACGUAGUUGAUGGGAAAAAGAUUAAUAUUUCUUUACCUUUAAUAAUUACGAAGAAAUGUUAUAAUUUGUUUUUUAAUCCUAAUAUAGAUAAUUUAGGUUUAAUCUUAAAAGAAUUAUUAUUCAAGUAAAUCUAAAUAUUUUAAUUUAAUUAGAAAAAAAAAAUUAAAAAAUUAUAUUAUCAAGAAAAAUUUCUAGAAUAAAAUUAUUAUUGCACGUACUGUAAACCGACACAGGUAGUUAGGUAAAAUAUACUAAGGCGUUUGAGAAAAUCUAGGUGAAGGAACUAGGCAAAAUAGUAUCGUAACUUUUGGAGAAGAUACACUAGAUUAUUUAAAAAAUUUUUUUUUAAAGAACUAGUCUAAGAGAUAAGGUGGCUGCAACUGUUUAUUAAAAACACAGCACUCUGCUAACGUGUAAACGGAUGUAUAGGGUGUGACGCCUGCCCGGUGCUGGUAGGUUAAUUGAUAAUGUUAAUUUUAAAAAAUAAAGCAUUUGAUAAAAGCCCCAGUGAACGGCGGCCGUAACUAUAACGGUCCUAAGGUAGCGAAAUUCCUUGUCGGGUAAGUUCCGACCUGCACGAAUGGCGUAAUGAUGGCCACGCUGUCUCCAUCUAGAACUCAGUGAAAUUGAAAUUGCUGUGAAGAUGCAGUGUAUCUACGGCUAGACGGAAAGACCCCGUGAACCUUUACUAUAAUUUCGUAUUGAUUAUUAACAAUUUUUGUGUAGGAUAACUGGGAGAUUUUGAUAUAUAAACGCAAGUUUAUAAGUAGUCGUCCUUGAAAUACCAGUCUAAAAUUUUUGAUAAUCUAAUUUAUUUUGUAAUCCAAAUUAAAAAAAGUACGUAAUUGGUAGUUUGACUGGGGCGGUCUCCUCCUAAAAAGUAACGGAGGAGUACAAAGGUGUUCUCAAUACGUUUGGAAAUCGUAUGUCGAGUGUAAGAGCAUAAGAACGCUUAACUGUAAGAUAGACAUAUCGAACAGAUACGAAAGUAGGUUCUAGUGAUCCGAUAAUUCUGUAUGGAAAGGUUAUCGCUCAACGAAUAAAAGGUACUCCGGGGAUAACAGGCUAAUACUGCCCAAGAGUCCAUAUCGACGGCAGUGUUUGGCACCUCGAUGUCGGCUCAUCACAUCCUGGGGCUGGAGUUGGUCCCAAGGGUAUGGCUGUU
rnacentral:rRNA from 1 species